CUGAGUUAUCACAACUCCCAACCCAUGUGAACUUACCUUCUGUUGCCUCGGCAGGGCGCACCCCGCGAGGGGCUUGCUGGCCUGCCGGUGGACUACUAAACUCUUGUUUUUUUCGUGGAACUCUGAGUAAGAAAACAUAAUAAUCA
rnacentral:misc_RNA from 1 species